UUGUUCAAAAAAAAAAAAAAUUAUUUAGUUCUGAAACCCAGAAAAAAUAAUCUUAUGGAGAAAGCGGGGUCAGAACGGAUGGAGAAGAAGGAAGAGGAGUUGAAGAGAGAGACAGAACCCCUGAGAUGAUUAACAAACAAGGGUUUGGUUUUAUUUUUGUCAUGAUAAAUUUACUCGGAAUUGUUUUAAUAAUUCUGAAUUUUAAUAUUUGUUCUAUAACAGUUAUACUAAUACUACGUAAAUUAUUUUAAUUUAAUUGAAUUGGGAUUUUCCCAGUGCAAUCAUCGACUACGGCGGGGAUUCUUCUUCUGAUUAUGAUUCUGAGGAUUAUAAAGCUAAUGCUUACAAAUAUGAUGACGAUUCUGACUUUUGUUGUGGUAAAUUUGAAGAGUUUUCAGACGACGAGGAAAUAGAGUAUGAUUGGAUUGCAAACGGAAGGCUUCAUAGUAUUCUUACUUGGGGUGAACAGACUGAUUCCGACGUAGUACUUCCUGCACUCUGUACGCCCAGUAUCUGUGUUAUUUUCUCGGACGGCACUACAGAAUACAUUCCUAUUGAUUCAGAUAAACCCCUUCCAAUGGAGCUGUAUAAUAAGGAUCACAUAAUUCACGAUUUCUUUCGAGAAACUAAAGAUAUGUAUGAAAUUACGACCAAAGAUGGUUUCAAGGUCCAAAUAGAUUCAUUAGUAAAGAAACCAAAUCAGGAUCUUGAGCGUCAGAUUGCAGGGCUUGCUUUGUCAUAUUUCAAAAAUACACAGGUCUGUUGUUCAUGUCCAUUGAUUUCCUAGUUUGUAUUUUGUUUCAUAUAUUUUACUCUUUUUUUUUUUUUUUUUUUUAUUUAACAUCAAUUUCCAAUACUUUCUCUUUGCAAUUGGAGGGAAGGGGUUGGAAAGGAAUAGAAUAUCUCUAGAUUGAUAUUGUUGGAGUUUUUUAACUCGAAAUGCUAGAAUCCCUUGAUAAAGUUUUUGUUUCUCUUAUUUGAUAUAAUUGUCUAGGUUAGUGAGAAAUGUGGAGAGAGCCCUAAAUAUUGAUUUUUUUUUUAAAUAAAAACAAAGUAAGCCUGAAUUCAUA